CUGGCUCAGGACGAACGCUGGCGGCGUGCCUAAUACAUGCAAGUCGAGCGGACAGAUGGGAGCUUGCUCCCUGAUGUUAGCG
rnacentral:rRNA from 1 species